UACAGAGGUCUCAAGCGUUGUUCGGAUUCAUUGGGCGUAAAGGGUGCGUAGGCGGCGCGGUAAGUCGGGUGUGAAAUCUCGGGGCUUAACUCCGAAACUGCAUUCGAUACUGCCGUGCUUGAGGACUGGAGAGGAGACUGGAAUUUACGGUGUAGCGGUGAAAUGCGUAGAUAUCAAGAGGAACACCUGCGGCGAAGGCGGGUUGCUGGGCCGACACUGACGCUGAGGCGCGAAAGCUAGGGGAGCGAACGGG
rnacentral:rRNA from 1 species